UGGCUUCGUUCUGGACCCCGGGAACACCGUCAGCUUGGCUCCGGAACCUAGGGUCUGGAACCCACCUGUCUUCACGAUUCCUGCAAGGGACUUUGUUUUCCUUGUACAGAUUAAAAACCUGACCCUCAGAGUGGGCUGAGUGGCCGGUAUGAGGAUGCUAGUGAAGUUGGAGGCCAGUCUGCCCCGCUGUGGCCUGGAUCUUUGGACCCAUCCUCCUGCAGCUGGGGGCUCCUGGGGGCCCAGGAGCCCAACGCUGAGCCUGCUGCAGACACUCCGUAAAUAUGUGUCGAGUGGAGCAAGCAGGUGAUUAAAGAAAUGAAACUGGUGUGUUUUAUUGCUAGACUGGUGUGGACUGUUAGUCACCGAUGCCGCCGAACUUCCUGUAGAUGAGACUCUGGAUGUGAAAGCAAGUCUAGAGAAAGGUGCCACAAACAGCACCGAUGACUCAUUUUCUACUCAGUUUGCUUUUUUCCCACCAAAAUAAUGACCAUGUUUAUAUAUUUCAAGUCUCAAGGAGACCAACUGUGAUUUCAAGAUUAUAUGGAAAAGGACGCGGCUGCCUGAUCUUCCCGAGGCCCUGGAACAAGCACUGUCCUGUUCCAAUGUGUGAGCACCCGCGGAAGAGAAGCCCCGGGAGAGAAUGGGUUCAGUUACUGGCUGUAAAAUUCGAUUACGUGCCCAGGGGAAGGUAAGGUCUGUGGAAGCUGAGUCUGAGGCUUCUAUGUGCUGGCUAAGAUCAACCUCUCCUUUUCCGUGACUAACAUAAAAAUACAGAUGACGUCAUUAGAAUGCUCCCGCAUCCCGCCCCCAUUAUUCAUCUCAUUUGGCCAAAAAUAAAUCUUCCUUCACUGCACAGUCUACACCGAUGAGUGUUUU